rnacentral:rRNA from 1 species
CCUACGGGAGGCUGCAGUGAGGAAUAUUGGUCAAUGGGCGUAAGCCUGAACCAGCCAAGCCGCGUGAGGGAUGAAGGUUCUAUGGAUCGUAAACCUCUUUUAUAAGGGAAUAAAGUGCGGGACGUGUCCCGUUUUGUAUGUACCUUAUGAAUAAGGAUCGGCUAACUCCGUGCCAGCAGCCGCGGUAAUACGGAGGAUCCGAGCGUUAUCCGGAUUUAUUGGGUUUAAAGGGUGCGUAGGCGGCCUUUUAAGUCAGCGGGGAAAGUCUGUGGCUCAACCAUAGAAUUGCAGUUGAAACUGGGAGGCUUGAGUAUGUUUGAGGCAGGCGGAAUGCGUGGUGUAGCGGUGAAAUGCUUAGAUAUCAGGCAGAACCCCGAUGGCGAAGGCAGCCUGCCAAGCCAUGACUGACGCUGAUGCACGAAAGCGUGGGGAUCAAACAGGAUUAGAUACCCGAGUAGGC